rnacentral:tmRNA from 1 species
GGGGGCGACUGGUUUCGACAGGGUGUUCCUGAGGUGGGCAGCAAGCCGUGGUCUCCUCGCCACGUAAAACAGGGGUACCGUCAAAUUGAAUUGACGACAACUCUUAUCAGGGCAACCUUGCCCUCGCUGCUUAAUCUAAUUUAGCAGCCGUCAAUGCGGGAAUCGCUCCUGUUCCCGCGGCGACGUCACUUUAGGGAGCUGCUGGCGCGGACGUGGUUGGUAUGCCGCGCAGUAAGACUGAACCAGCUGGGGCGCCGAGCGCGGGUCACCGUGUGCAAAGCGCCCGAGACUCAAACGGCGACUGAGCUUGGAGACACCUGCCAGGGGAGUGCUUUGGACCGGAGUUCGAUUCUCCGCGCCUCCACCA